rnacentral:rRNA from 1 species
UACGUAGGGUGCAAGCGUUGUCCGGAAUUAUUGGGCGUAAAGAGCUCGUAGGCGGUCUGUCGCGUCGGCUGUGAAAACUCGGGGCUCAACUCCGAGCUUGCAGUCGAUACGGGCAGGCUAGAGUUCGGCAGGGGAGACUGGAAUUCCUGGUGUAGCGGUGAAAUGCGCAGAUAUCAGGAGGAACACCGGUGGCGAAGGCGGGUCUCUGGGCCGAUACUGACGCUGAGGAGCGGAAGCGUGGGGAGCGAACAGG